rnacentral:lncRNA from 1 species
CGGGGGGGGUGGUGGUGGUGGUAUAUUCAGUACCAGUCAAACGUUUUAGAACGUUCCAGGGUUUUUCUUUAUUUUUUACUACUACAAGGUAAGGGUGGUAUACAAAAGAUAGCCCUAUUGGGUAAAAGACCAAAUGGCAAGAAUAGCUCAAAUAAGUAAAGAGAAACAACAGUCCAUCAUUACUUUAAGACAUGUAGGUCAUUCAAUAUGGAUAAUGUCAAGAACUUUGAAAGUUUCUUCAAGUGCAGUCGCAAAAAACUUGAAUUGCUGCAAAGAAACCACUACUAAAGAACAACAAUAAUAAGAAGAGACUUGCUUGGGCCAAGAAACACGAGUAAUGGACAAUAGACCAGUGGAAAUCUGUACUUUGGUCUGGACAAAUACCAUAAACACACCUCCAGGCUGUGUAAGGGCUAUUUGACCAAGGAGAGUGAUGGAGUGUUGCGUCAGAUUACCUGGCCUCCACAAUCACUCGACCUCAACCCAAUUGAGAUGGUUUAGGAUGAGUUGGACCAAAGAGUGAAGGAAAAGCAGCCAACAGGUGCUCAGCAAUGUGAGAACUCCUUCAAGACUGUUGGAAAAACAUUCCUCAUGAAGCUGGUUGAGAGAAUGCCAAGAGUGUGCAAAGCUGUCAUCAAGGCAAAGGGUGGCUACUUUGAAGAAUCUAAAAUAUUAAAGAAAUGUUGAUUUGUUUAACACUUUUUUGGUUAUUACAUGAUUCCAUACAUGUUAUUUCAUAGUUUUGAUGUCUUCACUAUUAUUCUACAAUGUAGAAAAUAGUAAAACUAAAGAAAAACCCUUGCAUGAGUAGGUGUGUCCAAACUUUUGACUGGUACUGUGUAUAUAUAUAUAUAUAUAUAUACACACACACACACACACACUAGUGGUCUUAAGUUUUAGAACAAGAUAACAUAUAACAUAACAUAUCUUGUUCUUAAAGUGGGAUUGAAGGAGAAUUUUCCACCAACCAUCGUUGCGUGUGCUUGUGUCCUUAAACUACUUUU